CGGGGUGAGUAAUGUCUGGGAAACUGCCUGAUGGAGGGGGAUAACUACUGGAAACGGUAGCUAAUACCGCAUAAUGUCGCAAGACCAAAGAGGGGGACCUUAGGGCCUCUUGCCAUCGGAUGUGCCCAGAUGGGAUUAGCUAGUAGGUGGGGUAACGGCUCACCUAGGCGACGAUCCCUAGCUGGUCUGAGAGGAUGACCAGCCACACUGGAACUGAGACACGGUCCAG
rnacentral:rRNA from 1 species